ACAACCCUGACACAGUAGCAUUUGUGC
rnacentral:piRNA from 1 species